CCUACGGGUGGCAGCAGUGGGGGAUAUUGCACAAUGGGGGAAACCCUGAUGCAGCGACGCCGCGUGGGCGAAGAAGUAUUUCGGUAUGUAAAGCCCUAUCAGCAGGGAAGAAGAAAUGACGGUACCUGAGUAAGAAGCACCGGCUAAAUACGUGCCAGCAGCCGCGGUAAUACGUAUGGUGCAAGCGUUAUCCGGAUUUACUGGGUGUAAAGGGAGCGUAGACGGAAAGGCAAGUCAGAAGUGAAAACCCAAGGCUCAACCAUGGGACUGCUUUUGAAACUGUCAAACUAGAGUACGGGAGAGGUAAGAGGAAUUCCUGGUGUAGCGGUGAAAUGCGUAGAUAUCAGGAGGAACACCGGUGGCGAAGGCGGCCUGCUGGACUGCAACUGACGUUGAGGCCCGAAAGCGUGGGGAGCAAACAGGAUUAGAUACCCUUGUAGUC
rnacentral:rRNA from 1 species